UGGGGAAUAUUGCACAAUGGGCGCAAGCCUGAUGCAGCCAUGCCGCGUGUAUGAAGAAGGCCUUCGGGGUUGUAAAGUACUUUCAGCGAGGAGGAAGGCGUUGUGGUUAAUAACCGCAGCGAUUGACGUUACUCGCAGAAGAAGCACCGGCUAACUCCGUGCCAGCAGCCGCGGUAAUACGGAGGGUACAAGCGUUAAUCGGAAUUACUGGGCGUAAAGCGCACGCAGGCGGUCUGUCAAGUCGGAUGUGAAAUCCCCGGGCUCAACCUGGGAACUGCAUUCGAAACUGGCAGGCUAGAGUCUUGUAGAGGGGU
rnacentral:rRNA from 1 species